AAUGUUGUCAUUGGGGAGUAGCCAUCCUUAGCCCCUUGCUAAGGAGUUCACGUCAACAAACUUGAGGCCAUAGCCUCAUGGCGUGAACAGCCUCUGCACCAGCAGAGAGAGCC
rnacentral:sRNA from 2 species